ensembl:lncRNA novel transcript
CCGCACUUCUCUGGGCUCCAACAGGAUGUGGUUGCAUCAUCUCCUGGAGGAACGGAUUUGCCUUGAAACGCAGGAGGCAGAGCGGGCCUGGGAGAAGGAGGUUGUUUCCACGCCUUCCUGGGGGAGAGGCUGGUGCAGUCGUGAGAGUCAACCGGGAGCUCGGAGGAGGAGCAGACAGGACGUGGGAGAGCUCGGGAGAGACCCAGGCUGGGCGUCUUGCAGCUCAGACCCUUGGCCACCCAAGCAGCGUAGCCGGCAUCACAGCCCACGGCGUGAGGCCACCAAGACAGACAGAGGAGGCUACAACUGAAAACACCAGUCAUAUUACCAAGGCUGUGACCGAAAUCGUGUCUCUGAGAAUGUGCCUCAAGCGUUCCAAGCCUGGCCGGCCGCGCUGGCUCACGCCUAUCAUCCCAGCACUUUGGGAGGCUGAGGUGGGAAGAUCACCUGGUGUCAGGAGUUUGAGACCAGCCUGGCCAACAUGGUGAAACCCCAUCUCUACUAAAAAUACUAAAAUUAGCUGGGCGUGGUGACAGCCGCCUGUAAUCCCAGCUACCUGGGAGGCUGAGACAGGAGAACCGCUUGAACCCGGGAGGCAGAGGUUGAAGUGAGCCAACAUCGCGCCAUUGCGCUCCAGCCUGGGCAACAAGAUCAAAACUCCAUCCCCCCUCCAAAUAAAAAGAAAGUUCCCAGCCUUACAGCGAGAGUAAAUAAAAACUGUCACCAUCUGGCAGGCCCAGGAACCUCAGGGCUAUCGGUCAAAUCUAAAGCCUGCCUUGGUUUGGCUUCUUAGCCUCAAGAGGCCAUUAAAUCUGAGAUUCCCAUCUGAUCAACAUAGGGAGAAAAGCUUAUGUUUCUAAAGAAAAGCUGUAGGCCUGGGUGCAGUGCCUCACGCCUGUAAUCCCAACACUUUGGGAGGCUGAGGUAGGAGGAUCACUUGAGCCCAGGAGUUCGAGACCAGCCUGGGCAAAAUAGAGAGACCCUUAUCUCUAUACUUUUUGAAAAAGGAAAAGAAAAGCUAUAAUACAUCUGUUAGGAGAUUGUAGCUCUGGGCAUUGUAUUUGAGCUCUUAUAUCUACCUACAGACUAGACUAGAUCCUAAAUUCUUCUAGAUUCCUUCAGUCAAAAUUUCUUCCAUGGAAUUACUAAAAAUAAAAACUGCUCUGUUCCUAAAUCCCUAUAAACUGAAACUAGAUGAAUUUUAAGGAACAAGUCUCAUAUCUGACAUAUGGGCCCCACAGGAGUUCACCAAACCAUCCAAUGCCAUAACCACAGACAUUUCACCUGCAAACCAGGCAGAGAAGCUGGCGUUUUCACACUGUAGCCAGGGCUUCCAGUUCAUCGGGACGAGAUUCUGUAUCAGAGACGCCCUCCCUCUUACCGUCUACCUGCUCGUGCCACAGGAUCAUGGUCAUUUAGUUCAUUCAACUGGUGAUCUUAAGCCUAGGUUUGUAGCUCAAAACUGUUAUGCAAACUGGGAUUUUCAUAUUACUAUUAAUUUUACUUUGUAUUUUCCCUUUUUAAACUUUGUGCCUGUUACUUGUUAAAUUUCUGCAGAUGUACACCUCCUAACUGAACAAUGCUGGACCGGCUCUUUGAGAUGAUAGCAAAGACUAUGAAACAAAUAAAACUGAAAUUAAU